rnacentral:tRNA from 1 species
GCCCCUAUAGCUCAGGUGGAUAGAGCAGCGGUUUCCUAAACCGUGUGCGCAGGUUCGAGUCCUGCUAGGGGUACCA